AUGGCCUGAACCCCUCUCCUGCUCCCUCUCCUCAUUCUCUGCACAGGUUCUGUGGCCUCUUCUGAGCUGACACAACCAUCUGCAGUGUCUGUGGCCUUGGCACAGACAGCCACCAUCACCUGCCAGGGAGACAGCUUAAGAAACAGUUAUGCGAGCUGGUACCAUCAGAAGCCAGGCCAGGCUCCUGUGCUUGUCAUCUAUGGUAGUAACAACCGGGCCUCAGGGAUCCCUGACAGAUUCUCCAGCUCCCAAUCAGGGAACACAGCCACCCUGACCAUCCGCGGAGCCCAGGCCGAGGACGAGGCUGACUAUUACUGUCACUCAGGAAAAGAUUAUUAUAGUUAUGAAGCUCACAGUGUCAAAGGCUAA